rnacentral:lncRNA from 1 species
AAGGAUGAAUCACUUUGUAAGAAGCUUGAUUUGGAUACAUAAAGUGUUGGAGAAUCACCAGGAAGUUGAAUAAAUCUCAUAGGUGUGAAAAUAAGUGGUUCAGUAUAUGAGGAGAUGGCUUAAAGAGUUGAGGAUGUGAGAAUGUGGAGGAAAAGGGAAGGAAGGUUAGGGAUCGACCAGGCCGUACAAGAGGCCGUACCGGCCGUACUGUCCGUACUGUCCGGGUCGAUCCAUAACUCGACCAAGCGGGAAGUUACCCGGGUGAAAGGGUUAAACGGCCAAAGGGGUUUUACCUUAGGAGAUAUGACCGUUUGGAUGGAGGGAGUGACCGCGGCUUAUCCUGACAGUCUGGCACAUGCUGUAAAGGCAAAAGGAACCGAGUCCAAGAUGCCAAAAGCGUGUGACAGCUCCCAUUGGUUUACAUUUGAAUUAAAGCAAUCUUAUCCUUGACCUCACAUGCUUAGCGUUUCCUAAUACCCUAAUGUCUCUCUCUAUAUAUUGUAAACUCUGUCUUGAUUAAUGAAUAACACGAGUUCAUCAUAUUCUCUCUCUAGUUCAUCAUGUUUCUCUUCUACAUUUCAUAAAUCAUCUUAUCUCACUUUAAUCUUUCUCUAAAUCUCUCAAUACCUGUUCAACUCUCUAAAAUCAUAAUAGGAGUUGGGAUUAAGAAGUUAUCCCACCUUCUAAUCAGGUGAUUCCAGUUUCCCAGUUUGGGAAUAGGACAGCUUCUCCGUCGUUCCAAUCAAACCAGGAUGAAUCACUUUGUAAGAAGCUUGAUUU